rnacentral:rRNA from 1 species
AUACGGAGGGUGCAAGCGUUAUUCGGAAUCACUGGGCGUAAAGGACGCGUAGGCGGGUUGGCAAGUCAGAUGUGAAAUCCUACAGCGUAACUGUAGAACUGCAUUUGAAACUGCUAACCUAGAGUAUGGGAGGGGGAGAUGGAAUUAGUGGUGUAGGGGUAAAAUCCGUAGAUAUCACUAGGAAUACCGAAAGCGAAGGCGAUCUCCUGGAACAUAACUGACGCUAAGGCGUGAAAGCGUGGGGAGCAAACAGGAUUAGAUACCCUAGUAGUCC